AUGGGCUGCUUCCUCGGCUGCUUCGGGGGCGCCAAGUCCAAGAAGGAGCGCCGCCACCGCCGGCGCAAGCAGCGCUCCCCCUCCCACUCCCCCUCCAAGGCCGCCCGCGACGCCGAGGCCGCCUCCGCCGCCGCCCCGCUCCUCGCCACCCUCCUCGAGCUCAGGGAUUCGGCCGAUGACCUGUGCCUGGCCGUCGUCGCCAAGAAGAAGGUGACGUUCGACCCCAACGUGACCGCCUACGAGGCGCCGCCGAUCCCCGAGGGCGAGGAGGCCGCGACAGAGGAGGAGGAGGAGGGCCGCGCCGCGGCGGGCGGCGAGGAGGCGUGGACGCUGCUGGGGCCCGAGUGCGCGAAAUCAGAGGCGUUCCCGCUCAACCACAGGUACGGCAACUGCGCCGGCGCCGACGACGACAGCGACUACGAGGACUGCUACGACGACGACGACGACGAUGAGUACGAUGACGAUGAGGACGACGAAGAGGAGGAGGGCUUGGACGGGAUCGACGAGUGCGCGGUGGACGACGACGAGGAGCAAGGCGGGCUUCUGGGCAUCGCGCGCGGCGAGGAGGAGGCGUGCGAGUCGCUCUUCCUGCUCCCGGCGCCCAGGACCACCAAGGACAGCGCCGCUGCCGCUCAGACCGGAGCAGCAGCUGAGGCAACCGCCGCGCUCAGCUCGGUGGAGAACUUCAGCCAGUGGAAGGACGCCAAGCCACACACCGCCGCGCCCAAGGAUUCAGAGAAGGAGAACAUCGUCAGGCUCUCCGACUCGGCGACGGCCCCUGAUAUGAAAAAAGAGAAGCCGGCGGUGAGCUGGGACUACACCCCCAGGACGCCGAGCAAGCAGGAGGCCUCGGUGGACGCGAGCCUCUCCACGUGGCUGGGCUCCUCGGGGACGCCGGAGAGCAACUACUCGGUGCGGUCCUACUCGCCGAUCAGCCGGGAGGACCGGCCCAUCCUCGGCGCCCUCACCGUGGAGGACAUCAAGAUCUCCUCGGCCAACUCGUCGCCGAGGCGGUCGCGGUCCCCGAGCCCGAGCCCCGACGACAUGCCGAUCCUGGGCACCGUGGGGGCUUACUGGAACUGCAGCGAUGCCAAGGGCGGCAGUGAUGAUUCGGUGACGAGAGGCGGGUUCAUGAAGACCAGGAGCAGAUUUGGGCAGAACUUGGCAUGA
rnacentral:rRNA from 1 species